AUUGAACGCUGGCGGCGUGCUUAACACAUGCAAGUCGAUCGGUAACAGGUGUAGCAAUACAUGCUGACGAGAGGCGGACGGGUGAGGAACGCUUGGGAAUCUGCCUAUCAGCGGGGGACAACCCGGGGAAACUCGGGCUAAUACCGCAUACGCUCUACGGAGGAAAGCCGGGGACCGCAAGGCCUGGCACUGAUAGAUGAGCCCAAGUCGGAUUAGCUAGUUGGCGGGGUAACGGCCCACCAAGGCGACGAUCCGUAGCUGGUCUGAGAGGACGAUCAGCCACACCGGAACUGAGACACGGUCCGGACUCCUACGGGAGGCAGCAGUGGGGAAUAUUGGACAAUGGGGGAAACCCUGAUCCAGCGACGCCGCGUGGGUGAAGAAGGCCUGCGGGUUGUAAAGCCCUUUCGGUAGGGAAGAAAUCUCUUGCUCUAACAAAGCAGGAGUUUGACUUAACCUACAUAAGAAGCACCGGCUAACUCUGUGCCAGCCGCCGCUGUAA
rnacentral:rRNA from 1 species